AACGAACGCUGGCGGCAUGCCUAACACAUGCAAGUCGAACGAGACCUUCGGGUCUAGUGGCGCACGGGUGCGUAACGCGUGGGAACCUGCCCUUAGGUUCGGAAUAACUCCCCGAAAGGGGUGCUAAUACCGGGUAAUUUCUGCGGACCAAAGAUUUAUCGCCUUUGGAUGGGCCCGCGUUGGAUUAGCUAGUUGGUAGGGUAAAAGCCUACCAAGGCGACGAUCCAUAGCGGGUCUGAGAGGAUGAUCAGCCACACUGGGACUGAGACACGGCCCAGAAUACUACGGGAGGCAGCAGUGGGGAAUAUUGGACAAUGGGGGAAAGCCUGAUCCAGCAAUGCCGCGUGAGUGAUGAAGGCCUUAGGGUUGUACAGCUCUUUUACCCGGGAUGAUAAUGACAGUACCGGGAGAAUAAGCUCCGGCUAACUUCGUG
rnacentral:rRNA from 1 species